rnacentral:tRNA from 36 species
GGGCGCGUAGCUCAGCGGGAGAGCACUACGUUGACAUCGUAGGGGUCGCUGGUUCGAUCCCAGCCGCGCCCACCA